rnacentral:rRNA from 62 species
GCGCGGUGGUCCCACCUGACCCCAUGCCGAACUCAGAAGUGAAACGCCGUAGCGCCGAUGGUAGUGUGGGGUCUCCCCAUGCGAGAGUAGGGAACUGCCAGGC